CCUACGGGAGGCAGCAGUGAGGAAUAUUGGUCAAUGGCCGUAAGGCUGAACCAGCCAAGUCGCGUGAAGGAAGAAGGAUCUAUGGUUUGUAAACUUCUUUUAUAGGGGAAUAAAGGUAUCCACGUGUGGAUCUUUGCAUGUACCCUAUGAAUAAGCAUCGGCUAACUCCGUGCCAGCAGCCGCGGUAAUACGGAGGAUGCGAGCGUUAUCCGGAUUUAUUGGGUUUAAAGGGUGCGUAGGUUGUUGUUUAAGUCAGUGGUGAAAGUUUGUGGCUCAACCAUAAAAUUGCCGUUGAAACUGGAAGACUUGAGUGUGUUUGAGGUAGGCGGAAUGCGUGGUGUAGCGGUGAAAUGCAUAGAUAGCACGCAGAACUCCGAUUGCGAAGGCAGCUUACUAAGCCAUAACUGACACUGAAGCACGAAAGCGUGGGGAUCAAACAGGAUUAGAUACCCUUGUAGUC
rnacentral:rRNA from 1 species